rnacentral:rRNA from 1 species
GAUGAACGCUGGCGGCGUGCCUAAUACAUGCAAGUCGAGCGAACGGACGAGAAGCUUGCUUCUCUGAUGUUAGCGGCGGACGGGUGAGUAACACGUGGAUAACCUACCUAUAAGACGGGGAUAACUUCGGGAAACCGGACCUAAUACCGGAUAAUAUUUUGAACCGCAUGGUUCAAAAGUGAAAGACGGUCUUGCUGUCACUUAUAGAUGGAUCCGCGUUGCAUUAGCUAGUUGGUAAGUUAACGGCUUACCAAGGCAACGAUGCAUAGCCGACCUGAGAGGGUGAUCGGCCACACUGGAACUGAGACACGGUCCAGACUCCUACGGGAGGCAGCAGUAGGGAAUCUUCCGCAAUGGGCGAAAGCCUGACGGAGCAACGCCGCGUGAGUGAUGAAGGUCUUCGGAUCGUAAAACUCUGUUAUUAGGGAAGAACAUAUGUGUAAGUAACUGUGCACAUCUUGACGGUACCUAAUCAGAAAGCCACGGCUAACUACGUG